rnacentral:rRNA from 1 species
GAUGAACGCUAGCUACAGGCUUAACACAUGCAAGUCGAGGGGAAACGACAUCGCAAGCUUGCUUUUGAUGGGCGUCGACCGGCGCACGGGUGAGUGACGCGUAUCCAACCUGCCCACCACUUGGGGAUAACCUUGCGAAAGUAAGACUAAUACCCAAUGAUAUCCCACGAAGACAUCUGAAUGGGAUUAAAGAUUUAUCGGUGAUGGAUGGGGAUGCGUCUGAUUAGCUUGUUGGCGGGGUAACGGCCCACCAAGGCAACGAUCAGUAGGGGUUCUGAGAGGAAGGUCCCCCACAUUGGAACUGAGACACGGUCCAAACUCCUACGGGAGGCAGCAGUGAGGAAUAUUGGUCAAUGGGCGAGAGCCUGAACCAGCCAAGUAGCGUGCAGGAAGACGGCCCUAUGGGUUGUAAACUGCUUUUAUAAGGGAAUAAAGUGGGUCACGUGUGACUUUUUGCAUGUACCUUAUGAAUAAGGACCGGCUAAUUCCGUG